GAUGAACGCUGGCGGCGUGCCUAAUACAUGCAAGUCGAGCGAACGGACGAGAAGCUUGCUUCUCUGAUGUUAGCGGCGGACGGGUGAGUAACACGUGGAUAACCUACCUAUAAGACUGGGAUAACUUCGGGAAACCGGAGCUAAUACCGGAUGAUAUUUUGAGCCGCAUGGUUCAAAAGUGAAAGACGGUCUUGCUGUCACUUAUAGAUGGAUCCGCGCUGCAUUAGCUAGUUGGUAAGGUAACGGCUUACCAAGGCAACGAUGCAUAGCCGACCUGAGAGGGUGAUCGGCCACACUGGAACUGAGACACGGUCCAGACUCCUACGGGAGGCAGCAGUAGGGAAUCUUCCGCAAUGGGCGAAAGCCUGACGGAGCAACGCCGCGUGAGUUAUGAAGGUCUUCGGAUCGUAAAACUCUGUUAUUAGGGAAGAACAUAUGUGUAAGUAACUGUGCACAUCUUGACGGUACCUAAUCAGAAAGCCACGGCUAACUACGUG
rnacentral:rRNA from 1 species